AUUGAACGCUGGCGGCAGGCCUAACACAUGCAAGUCGAGCGGAUGAAGGGAGCUUGCUCCUGGAUUCAGCGGCGGACGGGUGAGUAAUGCCUAGGAAUCUGCCUGGUAGUGGGGGAUAACGUCCGGAAACGGGCGCUAAUACCGCAUACGCCCUGAGGGAGAAAGUGGGGGAUCUUCGGACCUCACGCUAUCAGAUGAGCCUAGGUCGGAUUAGCUAGUUGGUGGGGUAAAGGCCUACCAAGGCGACGAUCCGUAACUGGUCUGAGAGGAUGAUCAGUCACACUGGAACUGAGACACGGUCCAGACUCCUACGGGAGGCAGCAGUGGGGAAUAUUGGACAAUGGGCGAAAGCCUGAUCCAGCCAUGCCGCGUGUGUGAAGAAGGUCUUCGGAUUGUAAAGCACUUUAGGUUGGGAGGAAGGGCAGUAAGUUAAUACCUUGCUGUUUUGACGUUACCAACAGAAUAAGCACCGGCUAACUUCGUG
rnacentral:rRNA from 1 species